CUUAAGUAAAAGUUUCGUCAUUCAGGGUAAUGUUUUGUCAUUCGGUGUAAUGCAAAUUGUAUGUUACACCACAGUGUCAUCCAUUACACUGAAUGAGAGUGUCACUGUUUAGAUAACAUUUUUAGCAUUUUAUUUCUAUUUCAGAUAAAUGAGGGAUGUUUAGCACAAAAAAAAAAUAUCAAACUUUAUCAAUAUUAAUGUUUUAAUGCAUUUUUGUCGUUUUGGUACUGAUUUCUUUUAGAUGCCCACAAACAAAAAGUUUCUAGGCACUAGCAGAAAGUUAAUGCAGACCCAGUAGCUAGGGCAAUGCAUUUAGCAAGGAGACGAGAAAGCAACCAGAGAAGAAAGCAAGCUGCCUUGGCUGCAAAUCCUGAUCACCUGUCAAUCAGGAAUUUAUCAGAUGCUGCAGCUGAGAAGAGGCAAAAGCAAUGGCGGGAAAAUCAAAGUAAACACAGGGCAGAAGCUAAACGUAUAAGGGCAGUUCUGGAUCUUAUUAUACAGUAUUACCACCUGUUCAGUUAAUUUUUACGAAUAUGAUAUGUAUUGUGGAAUAAAAUGAUUAUUAAUUUCA